rnacentral:rRNA from 1 species
CCAAUAGCGUAUAUUAAAGUUGUUGCAGUUAAAAAGCUCGUAGUUGAAUUUCGGGACCAUCAUGUCGGUCGUGCCUCGGUACGUACUGGUAUUGUUGGUUUCUCACCUUCUAAAGAACCAUGAUGUCAUUCAUUUGAUGUUAUGGGGAAUUAGGACUGUUACCUUGAAAAAAUUAGAGUGUUUAAAGCAAGCUUACGCUUGAAUACAUUAGCAUGGAAUAAUGAAAUAGGACAUCAGAUUCUAUUUUGUUGGUUUCUAGGAUCGAUGUAAUGAUUAAUAGGGAUAGUUGGGGGCAUUAGUAUUCAAUUGUCAGAGGUGAAAUUCUUGGAUUUAUUGAAGACUAACUACUGCGAAAGCAUUUGCCAAGGAUGUUUUCAUUAAUCAAGAACGAAAGUUAGGGGAUCGAAGAUGAUCAGAUACCGUCGUAGUCUUAACCAUAAACUAUGCCGACUAGGGAUCGGAUGAUGUUAAUUUUUUAAUGACUCAUUCGGCACCUUACG